rnacentral:rRNA from 1 species
UACGGGAGGCAGCAGUGGGGAAUAUUGCACAAUGGGCGCAAGCCUGAUGCAGCCAUGCCGCGUGUAUGAAGAAGGCCUUCGGGUUGUAAAGUACUUUCAGCGGGGAGGAAGGCGGUAAGGUUAAUAACCUUAUCGAUUGACGUUACCCGCAGAAGAAGCACCGGCUAACUCCGUGCCAGCAGCCGCGGUAAUACGGAGGGUGCAAGCGUUAAUCGGAAUUACUGGGCGUAAAGCGCACGCAGGCGGUCUGUCAAGUCGGAUGUGAAAUCCCCGGGCUUAACCUGGGAACUGCAUUCGAAACUGGCAGGCUAGAGUCUUGUAGAGGGGGUAGAAUUCCAGGUGUAGCGGUGAAAUGCGUAGAGAUCUGGAGGAAUACCGGUGGCGAAGGCGGCCCCUGGACAAAGACUGACGCUCAGGUGCGAAAGCGUGGGGAGCAAACG